rnacentral:RNase_P_RNA from 1 species
CUAACGGCCGGGCGGGGUAACCCGACGGAAAGCGCCGCAGAAAAGAAGACUCCAACUGGCCGGCCCUCGGGCCGCGCAAAGGGAAAAGCUGAAACGGUGGUGUAAGAGACCACCAGCGCCGCGGCAACGCGACGGCUUGGCAAGCCCCAUCCGGAGCAAACGCAAAUAGGAGCGCCAUGGUGUGGCCCGCACUGCGCUCGGGUUGCGCGCUAGAGGCGGUCGGUGACGACCGUCGUAGAUAAAUGGCCGCCCACGACAGAACCCGGCUUACAGGCCCACCUCGCAC